GUCCAAACAAACUGAUCAAACAGAACCUGUUGUUGAUUUAGAUAUCAUUGAUUAUUUGAGCAAAGAUAUUUUUUAUACAAAUCAAGAUGAUAUACUAAACAAUGAUUCUUGCAGGGAAGAGAGCCAAAAAGAGCCAGAACUGAAAGAAACUAACUGUUACAUCCAACAGGUGGACUGCGAACACUCACAGAACAAAGGAGAGCCAAUCACACCUCU
rnacentral:lncRNA from 1 species